rnacentral:rRNA from 1 species
GCUUGUCUCAAAGAUUAAGCCAUGCAUGUCUUAGUGUAAAUAACUCUUAUGAAACUGCGAAUGGCUCAUUAAAUCAGUUAUCGUUUAUUUGAUGGUCCCUUACUACAUGGAUAACCGUAGUAAUUCUAGAGCUAAUACAUGCACAAAAUCCCGACUUACGAAGGGAUGUAUUUAUUAGAUACAAACCAACAUCGUGGUGAUUCAUAAUAACUUUGCGAAUCGUAUGCCUCACGGCGACGAUGAAUCAUUCAAAUUUCUGCCCUAUCAAUUGGCGAUGGUAGGAUAGAGGCCUACCAUGGUGUUAACGGGUGACGGGGGAUUAGGGUUCGAUUCCGGAGAGGCAGCCUGAGAAACGGCUACCACAUCCAAGGAAGGCAGCAGG